rnacentral:rRNA from 1 species
AUUGAACGCUGGCGGCAGGCCUAACACAUGCAAGUCGAGCGGCAGCGGGUCCUUCGGGGUGCCGGCGAGCGGCGGACGGGUGGGGAAUGCCGAGGAAUCUGCCUGGUAGCGGGGGAUAACGUUCGGAAACGGACGCUAAUACCGCAUACGUCCUGCGGGAGAAAGGUGGGGAUCUUCGGACCUCACGCCACCAGAUGCGCCUAGGUCGGAUGAGCUAGUUGGUGGGGUAACGGCUCACCAAGGCGUCGACCCGUAACUGGUCUGAGAGGAUGAUCAGUCACACUGGAACUGAGACACGGUCCAGACUCCUACGGGAGGCAGCAGUGGGGAAUAUUGGACAAUGGGCGAAAGCCUGAUCCAGCCAUGCCGCGUGUGUGAAGAAGGUCUUCGGAUUGUAAAGCACUUUAAGUUGGGAGGAAGGGCAGCUAGUUAAUACCUGGUUGUUUUGACGUUACCAACAGAAUAAGCACCGGCUAACUUCGUGCCAGCCGCCGCAGUAAGAC